GACGAACGCUGGCGGCGUGCUUAACACAUGCAAGUCGAACGGUGAAGCGCUUGCCUUUUUGGUUGGUGUGGAUGAGUGGCGAACGGGUGAGUAACACGUGAGUAACCUGCCCUCUUCUUCUGGAUAACCUCAUGAAAGUGGGGCUAAUACGGGUUAUUCCGGGUCUGUCGCAUGGCGGGUUUGGGAAAGAUUGCGCCUUUGGGUGUUUUCGGUGGGGGAUGGGCUCGCGGCCUCUCAGCUUGUGGGUGGGGUGAUGGCCUGCGAAGGCGGUGACGGGUAGCGGGGCUGAGGGGGUGGAGGGCGAGAGUGGGAAGGGGACACGGCCGAGGGUCCUGCGGGAGGGAGCAGUGGGGAAUAUUGCGAAAGGGGAGCAAGCCUGAUGCAGCGACGCCGGGUGCGGGAUGGAGGCCUUCGGGUUGUGAGCCUCUUUCGCGAGUGAAGCAGGCCUGCUCCUGUGUGGGUGGGUUGACGGUAGCUGGAUAAGAAGCGCCGGCUAACUACGUG
rnacentral:rRNA from 1 species